UACGAAGGGUGCUAGCGUUGUUCGGAAUCACUGGGCGUAAAGCGCGCGUAGGCGGCGCUACAAGUCAGGGGUGAAAUCCCAGAGCUCAACUCUGGAAUUGCCUUUGAAACUGUAGUGCUAGAGUGUCGGAGGGGAUAGCGGAAUUGCUAAUGUAGAGGUGAAAUUCGUAGAUAUUAGCAGGAACACCGGUGGCGAAGGCGGCUAUCUGGACGACAACUGACGAUGAGGCGCGAAAGCGUGGGGAUCAAACAGG
rnacentral:rRNA from 1 species